AGGACCUGUAUCAACAAGUAACAGAAAUAAAACCAGAAAGAACAAAAUGUUGGCUCGUGGAAGUGGUCGGAUCUGGGGAAGACUCUGAAUCUCAAGAGUAAUUUGCCCAAAUUGAGCAGGGAAAGUCUCAGACACACAGAGGACUUGGUACAAUGCCUCACAUAUAAACCCGGGUCAUGGUAAAUGUUCUCAGAACGGCAAAUACAGACUUCAGGGAAGAGAAAGGUCUAAAGAGCCUAGACAAAGGAAGUUCUUUCUGGCCUUGGGAGGGAGACCCCAGAGGUGAAGUGACAUCAAGACACAUCAUGAGACCUAUCAAGAGCAGUCAUUGGCACCCACCGAAAGUGGUCUUGCAAAGAAGAAUCCAUGAGAACAAACAUCACAUGGCUGCGGAGAGGUGCCAGAGUCCCACACUACGACAGUGGGAAAGAGGCCUGUUCUUUUUAAAAACUGGAACCCCAACAAGAAUAACUGUCUUGGCAGAACCCCAACAAGAAUAACUGUCUUGGAAGUCAGGAAACACACUACUUAUAUUGUUGCAUAAUAAA